UACACUUUCUCAAUUUCUGACAGGUUGCACAACAGCACUGCUUUGAUUUUUUUUUUUUUACUGUUUUCACUGAUUAGCAUGUCCAUUCAGCCACUUUCUAUCCUACAAUAUUAAAGCCAUAUUCUACCUUCUGUUUUCAAGAUUCCUUUGCUUAUAUGUAACCAUGGGGUUACCCAUGGUGGCGGUGGCGAAGCUCAACCUCCUAUUAUCUAACUCCCACACCGGAGCCUCCUUGGUUACUUUCCUGCUAUUCCCUUACGUGCUUAAACUCACGUUCACUGUCAGGCUUUUUCGUCGAGCUUACACCGGUCUGCUCCACUCAUCCAGGCUCUUCUUAUUUCAGUUGAGCCAAAUCGCCUUCGAUACUGAUCAACCUGCUCCGGUAGGCAAUGAUAGCACCAGACUGAGGAGAGCUCUGAGGUUAAUAUAUCAGAGAGUAACAAGAACAAGAAGGUCACAAACCACACAAGAUGAUGAGGAUAAUUUCAAUGCCCUCUCCAUGUUUUCUCUCUAGUCAAGUAAUGGUAAUGGAAAAAGCUUGCGCGUACCUCGACUAAUCUCACAGAUCCUGAAGUUAACGACCAUGUAAGUUUCCAGUGGCCAUCAUAUUAGCAACCACAAGACUACAACCUGAGACCACAGAGAAGCAAACCUUUUAAUCCCAAGUUUUUACCACUAGGUCAUCUAUUAGAUAGUUAUCUCAACUUAUUAUACCAUGUGUUAGUUCAUUUAAUAAUUUUUUUAAAAUGUUAUGUUUUACAAUAAUA